ACACUCCUUGUUAGAGCCUGAAAUGUCAAUUUUUGCAGUGUUUCAAGUUCCAAACUAAGUCUUAGUUCGAUUAUAGAGGCCAUACUCUCACUUUGGAGGAUAUUUGAGUGUGUGCGGCCACCUUAUGAAGGUGUGCGGCCGCACUCCUUCAAUGGAUGAAGAAAAUGAAGAACACUAUGAGUUUUAGGCCUAGAUUUUGGUGUUUUACCGAUAAUACAAGCUAGAUGGUGGUGUUAAUCACGAUUUUGAGGUUCUUAGUGUGUUCUUGGAUGAGAUUUUUAUAGAGAGAGAGAGAGAGAGAGUAGCGUGCUACCAAAG
rnacentral:lncRNA from 1 species